UGGGGAAUAUUGGACAAUGGGCGAAAGCCUGAUCCAGCCAUGCCGCGUGUGUGAAGAAGGUCUUCGGAUUGUAAAGCACUUUAAGUUGGGAGGAAGGUCAGUAAGCGAAUACCUUGCUGUUUUGACGUUACCGACAGAAUAAGCACCGGCUAACUCUGUGCCAGCAGCCGCGGUAAUACAGAGGGUGCAAGCGUUAAUCGGAAUUACUGGGCGUAAAGCGCGCGUAGGUGGUUCGUUAAGUUGAAUGUGAAAGCCCCGGGCUCAACCUGGGAAGUGCAUCCAAAACUGGCGAGCUAGAGUAGGGCAGAGGGUGGUGGAAUUUACUGUGUAGCGGUGAAAUGCGUAGGUAUAGGAAGGAACACCAGUGGCGAAGGAGACCACCUGGGCUCAUACUGACACUGAGGUGCGAAAGCGUGGGGAGCAAACAGG
rnacentral:rRNA from 1 species